rnacentral:rRNA from 1 species
UACGUAGGGCGCAAGCGUUGUCCGGAAUUAUUGGGCGUAAAGAGCUCGUAGGCGGCCAGUUGCGUCCGCUGUGAAAUCCCGGGGCUUAACCCCGGGCGUGCAGUGGAUACGGGCUGGCUAGAGGCAGGCAGGGGAGAACGGAAUUCCCGGUGUAGCGGUGAAAUGCGCAGAUAUCGGGAGGAACACCGGUGGCGAAGGCGGUUCUCUGGGCCUGUACUGACGCUGAGGAGCGAAAGCGUGGGGAGCAACAGG